rnacentral:rRNA from 1 species
UACGUAGGGGGCAAGCGUUGUCCGGAUUUAUUGGGCGUAAAGAGCGUGUAGGCGGUUAGGUAGGUCCGUUGUGAAAACUCGAGGCUCAACCUCGAGACGUCGGCGGAAACCCUCUGGCUAGAGUCCGGAAGAGGAGAGUGGAAUUCCUGGUGUAGCGGUGAAAUGCGCAGAUAUCAGGAAGAACACCCGUGGCGAAGGCGGCUCUCUGGGACGGUACUGACGCUGAGACGCGAAAAGCGUGGGGAGCAAACAGG